rnacentral:rRNA from 1 species
UACGGAGGGUGCGAGCGUUGUCCGGAAUCACUGGGCGUAAAGCGCACGUAGGCGGAUGUGUCAGUCAGGGGUGAAAUCCCGGAGCUCAACUUCGGAACUGCCUUUGAUACAGCACAUCUGGAGUCCGGAAGAGGUGGGUGGAAUUCCUAGUGUAGAGGUGAAAUUCGUAGAUAUUAGGAAGAACACCAGUGGCGAAGGCGACUACCUGGCCUGUUCUUGACGCUGAGGCGCGAAAGCUAGGGGAGCAAACGGGG